UGAGGUUAGUGUUGGUUGUCAUUUUGUGGUGUUGUCAUUUUGGUUAGUUCAAAAGCAGUGGUUGGCAAUUAUUUGGCCUCAGUAAGGUACUUUGGAAAAUCGUGGAAGAAUUAUAGAAAUGGAUUUAUAGAGACCCUCCUCUGGUAUAAACUGCGUAGAUUAUCAGUACCGUAAUGAUUCCUUUAUAUUAUUUUGGUUUUGAUGUGUUUUCUUCUUCUUCACUAUGACAACUGAUAGGCUCUGUGAACUUUGAGUAUCGGGAAAUUUCUGUGCGACUGUCAGAGCGGACAUUUUGUGAUACGAAAAUCUUGUUGAGAGUUUGGACAUUUUUCGAAGAUAAAUUUUGAAUCUAGAUUCAUCCUCGUUGUGAGGGAUUAUAACUUCGAGUGUCAUUAUUCCCUGAGGAGUAUUUUGGGAAUAUUUUGGGAAAUACGUUUUAUACGUGAUCAUAAACUUUUCCACAGGAAAUUCGUUAGGUUGUUGUAUAGCGAAUAAUAUAUUUGGAACAAAUUUUUGACUGAAUUGGAGGUUGAACCUAUCUCCCUCGAACAACAGAGGGUCCGCGUAUUGGGGGUAUCUUAGUUCCACGUAUUGGGUGUAGGCACCUGAGUUUUCACGUAGCUGAGUUAUUCCACGUACUGAUCAGUUUCCACAUACGUGUCAGUUAUCCACGUAGUUCGGAGUCCCGAGUACCUGAGUCAUCUACGUACCUGUCAGUGAGGGGUAACAAUUGGCAUCUUGGAGGUCUACGUGCCUGGCGUCAUACGUUCAACUUACCAUUUGUAAUAGUUUGUGAAGGUAACCAGUGCAUAGCACUGGCUUUAAAAUUGUAAAUCAUUGGUUCUUUUUUUUAUUUUUGAUAAUUUGUGAUAUUAUUCUAUAAGGUAAUUUUAUAUAUAACUGUGAGCAAUUAUAGUGAGGUGCACUUCAUAAGUUGCGUUGGGUACCAACAAAGGUGCUCGUGUAUCCCUUCAGGAUUUUAUUAUAGGAUAAUUGAUCGGUAUUCCCUUCAGGAAUCAUUGUUUAAUUUAGCGUAGUUAUUGACAAUCUAAACCCGAACGUUAAGCUGAACGUAAGCCAAUUAAGUGGGUUUAGUUUGUUAGUUUAGAUUAUUGGUUCUUAUCUGAUUUAGUGUGUUUAGUAAGUUUUCUUCUGG